AUUGAACGCUGGCGGCAGGCCUAACACAUGCAAGUCGAGCGAGCGGCGGACGGGUGAGUAAUGUAUGGGGACUGCCCGAUAGAGGGGGAUAACUACUGGAAACGGUGGCUAAUACCGCAUACUAUCGGAAAACCCAUAUGGGAUUAGCUAGUAGGUGGGGUAAAGGCUCACCUAGGCGACGAUUGUGAGCUGGUCUGAGAGGAUGAUCAGCCACACUGGUACUGAGACACGGCCCAGCCUCCUACGGAGGCAGCAGUGGGGAAUAUUGAACAAUGGGCGCAAGCCUGAUGCAGCCAGGCCGCGUGUAUUAAGAAGGCCUUAGGGUUGUAAAGUACUUUCAGCAGGGAGGCGUUACCCGAAGAAGAAGCACCGGCUAACUCCGUGCCAGCAGCCGCGGUAAUAC
rnacentral:rRNA from 1 species